rnacentral:lncRNA from 1 species
CUGAAGAUGGUUCCUGCCUGAACCAUGCACACUAAUCAUUUAAUGUUCUACAGAAGAAAAGAACAAACAGAGCAGGGAGGCAGAUGUGGCCACAUACUGGAUCUACACUUAAAACAGUGAAUGGCUGCUACCCCCACCUCCUGCAGUAGGAACAGGAAGAAAGGAAGGAUCACCUAUAGAAAACUCACCCUGAAAAGAUGUGGAGACAGGACUCAAGGAGGUCCCAUUUCCAAAUGGAAGAAGUAAAAUUUUAACAGGAUGAAGUCUUUGACCCGAACCUAAAUACAGACCAGAAUUCUGAGCCCAAAAACUAUCUCCAGCAUCCGGAGAAGAAGCAUCAUGAAAGGGGAGGAGAGAGCUGUUUAUAUAUAAAAUAAGUUGAAUUUGCAAG